rnacentral:rRNA from 1 species
UACCUGCAGCUCAAGUGGUGGCCGCUAUUAUUGGGCCUAAAACGUCCGUAGCCGGUUUGGUAAAUGCCUGGGUAAAUCGUGUAGCUUAACUAUACGAAUUCUGGGUAGACUGUCAAACUUGAGACCGGGAGAGGCUAGAGGUACUCUUGGGGUAGAGGUGAAAUUCUGUAAUCCUAGGGGGACCACCAGUGGCGAAGGCGUCUAGCUAGAACGGGUCUGACGGUGAGGGACGAAGCCCUGGGGCACAAACCGGAUUAGAUACCCGGGUAGUCCAGGGUGUAAACGCUGCUUGCUUGAUGUUAGUUGGGCUCUGAGCCCAACUAGUGUCGGAGAGAAGUUGUUAAGCAAGCUGCCUGGGAAGUACGGUCGCAAGGCUGAAACUUAAAGGAAUUGGCGGGGGAGCACAGCAACGGGAGGAGCGUGCGGUUU